UUAACUGUUCCAUUGAAAUUUUUUUUGAAGGGAAUGUAACAAUUGUGAGACUAAUAUCUUCCUAUUAGCUACAAAUAAAAAUUGAAACAGCAUGUACUUGUACUGAAUAUGCCUAGUAAUGGACUUUGAGUGAACUUGUGUGAUUUGACUCUGGGGAACGACUUAAUAGAAUGUGGACACGAAACAGUAGCAUGUUGCAUGAUUGAGAAUGUGUUAUUAUUAACAUGGGUCACAGCAAAUCAGGUGAUACAUUGUGUAAAAGUGAGACAAUAAUAUGAAAGCAAGUGUGUAUAUGUGAGCAAUAAGUAAUUUCCAUAAUUAAUUAAAAAGAGAGAGAAUGGAUUUUUAUCUAUGUCCAUAAACCGGAGGGGGGGAAAAGGGAAAGCAAAGCUCAUUUAUGCAGUCUGCUAAUGUACUCUCUAAAAAUUUCAGAAACUUCAUCAAACGAUUAACUAGAAAAUCCUCAUCUCAUUGGAACACUAAAAUUGUUCAUCAUCCCAGACAAAGUGAUGGCCACAACUGCGGACCACUCAUCUUAAAGUUUGCAGAAGCGUAUUUGCAGCACAAAGACAUCAGUAUGGUAGAAACAACACAAGAGGCUAAUACUGCCUUUAGAAGACAUAUAGCAAUUCUUCUAAUGAAGGAGUCAGGUAAUUACUUUCUACCACGUACUGUUGUCUCAUUAGGCACAUGUGAAGAUAACAUGAAGAGUGGAAUUAUGUCACAUAGCAGACAGUUAUCUUAAUACCCCUAAAGUGGGAUAUCUCACAGGUUUGGUUCUGUAAUGGUGACUAUGAACCAAUAAUAUCCUUAAGUCCACAAAAAUUUGAAUCAGGUGAAUGAUGAUUGCUAUUGAUCGGCCAGCUAAAUGAAAUUGGCAUUUUUAGAUACAGGGGCAGUAAACUAAAAAUUUGAGAAAAAAUGAGUCACAAAAAAGGAAAAGAUACGUUCAAACCAUUGACUGGAUUAAAAUAUUGACAUUAAUUAAUAAAUGAAGAUUUGCAUUUUCCGUUUUGGUCA
rnacentral:lncRNA from 1 species